GAUGAACGCUGGCGGCGUGCCUAAUACAUGCAAGUCGAGCGAACAGAUGAGGAGCUUGCUCCUCUGACGUUAGCGGCGGACGGGUGAGUAACACGUGGAUAACCUACCUAUAAGACUGGGAUAACUUCGGGAAACCGGAGCUAAUACCGGAUAAUAUAUUGAACCGCAUGGUUCAAUAGUGAAAGACGGUUUUGCUGUCACUUAUAGAUGGAUCCGCGCCGCAUUAGCUAGUUGGUAAGGUAACGGCUUACCAAGGCAACGAUGCGUAGCCGACCUGAGAGGGUGAUCGGCCACACUGGAACUGAGACACGGUCCAGACUCCUACGGGAGGCAGCAGUAGGGAAUAUUCCGCAAUGGGCGAAAGCCUGACGGAGCAACGCCGCGUGAGUGAUGAAGGUCUUCGGAUCGUAAAACUCUGUUAUUAGGGAAGAACAAAAGUGGAAGUAACUAUGCACGUCUUGACGGUACCUAAUCAGAAAGCCACGGCUAACUACGUG
rnacentral:rRNA from 1 species